rnacentral:lncRNA from 1 species
AUAAAUAAUGAAACAGUAAGAUGGGUAGCAGGCAGACAGACAGUAAGAUGGGUAGCAGGCAGCAUCACCCUCGGCAGACAGACAGUAAGAUGGGUAGCAGGCAGCAUCACCCUCGGCAGACAGACAGUAAGAUGGGUAGCAGGCAGCAUCACCCUCGGCAGACAGACAGUAAGAUGGGUAGUAGGCAGCAUCACCGUCGACAGACAGACAGUAAGAUGGGUAGCAGGCAGCAUCACCCUCAGCAGACUGGUUAGUAGUGUAGCAGGGAGCAUCACCCUCAGCAGACUGGUUAGUAGUGUAGCAGGGAGCAUCACCCUCAGCAGACUGGUUAGUAGUGUAGCAGGGAGCAUCACCCUCAGCAGACUGGUUAGUAGUGUAGCAGGCAGCAUCACCCUCAGCAGACUGGUUAGUAGUGUAGCAGGCAGCAUCACCCUCAGCAGACUGGUUAGUAGUGUAGCAGGGAGCAUCACCCUCAGCAGACAGGUUAGUAGUGUAGCAGGCAGCAUCACCCUCAGCAGACUGGUUAGUAGUGUAGCAGGGAGCAUCACCCUCAGCAGACUGGUUAGUAGUGUAGCAGGCAGCAUCACCCUCAGCAGACUGGUUAGUAGUGUAGCAGGGAGCAUCACCCUCAGCAGACUGGUUAGUAGUGUAGCAGGCAGCAUCACCCUCAGCAGACUGGUUAGUAGUGUAGCAGGGAGCAUCACCCUCAGCAGACAGGUUAGUAGUGUAGCAGGGAGCAUCACCCUCAGCAGACUGGUUAGUAGUGUAGCAGGGAGCAUCACCCUCAGCAGACUGGUUAGUAGUGUAGCAGGGAGCAUCACCCUCAGCAGACUGGUUAGUAGUGUAGCAGGGAGCAUCACCCUCAGCAGACUGGUUAGUAGUGUAGCAGGGAGCAUCACCCUCAGCAGACUGGUUAGUAGUGUAGCAGGGAGCAUCACCCUCAGCAGACUGGUUAGUAGUGUGUGUUUACGUAAUAUAAUUUGGCAGAUGCUUUUAUCCAAAGUGUCUGACAGCCAUGCGUGA